rnacentral:rRNA from 1 species
UACGUAGGGUGCAAGCGUUGUCCGGAAUUAUUGGGCGUAAAGAGCUCGUAGGCGGUCUGUUACGUCGGCUGUGAAAACCUGGGGCUCAACCCCGGGCCUGCAGCCGAUACGGGCAGACUAGAAUUCGGUAGGGGAGACUGGAAUUCCUGGUGUAGCGGCGAAAUGCGCAGAUAUCAGGAGGAACACCGGUGGCGAAGGCGGGUCUCUGGGCCAUUACUGACGCUGAGGAGCGAAAGCGUGGGGAGCGAACAGG